GAGUUUGAUUCUGGCUCAGGAUGAACGCUGGCGGCAUGCCUAACACAUGCAAGUUGAACGAGAAGUUCCGGAGGGAGUCUUCGGACGAACGAAGGGAUGGAAAGUAGCGAACGGGUGAGUAACGCGUGGGCAACCAACCUUACACAGGGGGAUAACACAGAGAAAUCUGUGCUAAUACCGCAUAAGCGCACAGUACUGCAUAGUACAGUGUGAAAAACUCCGGUGGUGUAAGACGGGCCCGCGUCUGAUUAGCUAGUUGGUAGGGUAAAAGCCUACCAAGGCAACGAUCAGUAGCCGACCUGAGAGGGUGAUCGGCCACAUUGGGACUGAGACACGGCCCAAACUCCUACGGGAGGCAGCAGUGGGGGAUAUUGCACAAUGGAGGAAACUCUGAUGCAGCAAUGCNNNGNGAAGGAAGAAGGUCUUCGGAUUGUAAACUUCUAUCAGCAGGGAAGAAAAUGACG
rnacentral:rRNA from 1 species